UCAGCUACGAAUGAAGGGCGUGC
rnacentral:miRNA from 1 species